CAAGUGACUUUAUCAUGCACAUAAAUUAUGUGGAGUCAUAGAUUGUCUCUUUUCAUCAUUAAUUAUAUAUUUUAAUUGAAGUGUAAAUUUACAAUGUUGUAUUAGUUUCAAGUGCACAGCAAACUGAUUUAUAUAUAUACAUAUAUAUGAAUAUAUAUAUAUAUUCUUUUUCAGAUUCUUCUCCUUUAUAGGUUAUUAUAAGAUAUGAGUAUAGUUUCCUGUGCUAUAUAGUAGGUCCCUGUUUAUAUAUUUUAUGUAUAGUAGUGUGUAUAUGUUAAUCCUAAGCUCCUAAUUUAUCUCUCUCUCCUUGCCCUUUGGUAACCAUAAUUUCUUUUCUAUGUCUGUGUGUCUUUUUGUAAAUAAGUUCCUCUGUAUCAUUUUUAAAAACUCCAUCUAUAAGUGAUAGCAUAUGAUAUUUGUCUUUCUUUGUCCAAUUUACUUUGCUUAAUAUGAUAAUUUCUUGAUCUUAUUUUACUUUACCCUCAUGGCAACCCCACUGUUGAGGAUAUAGAGAAUCAGAGAGUUUUAUAAACUUGCUGAAGGCCACACAUCUACUAAAGAAUGUACCUCAAGUUCAGAUCUACAGACUCAAGAGUUCUAAUGCAGUGACUAAUCCAUUAUAUCAGACAACUUGUACCUCACCCACCACACAACACAUACCUUGCCCUGCACCAGGCAUUUUUACCAGGAGCCCCGAAGAGAAGACCAUGGCCCUGGCCACAUGGACCUUGUCUCCUGAAGGUGUGACAUCAUCUUGUUCUAGUCAAACCAAGCCGGCGAAUCCGAGAAAGAAACACACAGGAACCCAUUUGUAACAAUGCAUAAAUAAUAAACUGAUCUGAUUUAGGAUAGCAGAGAGAAAUACCAGAAGAGAGGGACUGAGGUGGGGUAUUUAUUAUACAGGAUAAUCACACUAAGUAUGUCCUGUCAGCUCCUACACUUCCACUCUUCACCCUUAUUGACCCUGAUCUGGGCCCCCAAUACUCUGAGGGUCCCUUUCACUUUGGUUUCCAGUUGGGUUUGACAAAUGGGAGGUGCCAGCAGGAGCCUUGAGAGGUGGAGGGGACCACAGUGGGAUUUUUCAGGCCCUGAUCCCCUCCCUGCUGGCUGUCUGCAUCCCACCAUCUAAGGUGACAUUUCCUGCCAAGCUGCCUCCUCCCUAUGGUCACAUGGUCCUGUGGCCACCCCCCAACCCUUGCCCUACCUAUUCAGGCUUAGCAUGGUAAUGGCUCUCUUCUGUUUCUGACCUCAGGGUACUACACUAUUGUCAUGGAAGUUCCUUGCAUCUCAUCACCCCUUGGUAAAGAGGCUGUUUACUAAACUCUCUUCCAUCAUCUGGCUCAGUGUACCAUCUGUGUUUUCCCAGAACCUCAAGUGAUGCAGUGAAUAAGCAAACAAGAUUGUCAGUGAACCAUCUUUGUAGGCAAAACUAUGGAAACAUAUUCACAUCCUCCUAAGAGGAUGACAGAUGGUAACCAUGUGAGACUUGACUCUCUUAUCCUCACUUCCUUCUUGUUUGCUACUCCUCUAGAACAGGAAUGAGGUCAGAUAUUUUGCAGAGCUGCAUAUUUGGCCCAGGAGAUCAUCAAGUAGCAACUCCCAACACCGUGAAGCUAGGAUUCCCCACCAAGGGAGGAAGGAAUGACAAACAGCACUGCUGCAACCAGUCAUACCUAGUUGGUGCCUUCAAGGACCUCACCUCAGGAGUUCUCACUGUAGCACAACAGGAUCAUUUUUUUUUUUAAAAAAAAAAGGACCUUGGCUCAGUACCAGUCCUGUCAAUCUUCAAGGUCUUACCAUCUCCAGGGAGGGAGGCCUCUGACCACAGCUCCACCUCACAAAAAGGCCAACAGCCCCUGAGCCUACUUAUCUGCUGGCUCUGACAGAUGGAUCCCAGAACUCACCAGACCAAAUGAUUUUAUUUCCCUCAACACAUCCAUGUGCAUGAAGGCAGUCAAUGAAUUAAUUGUAUUAGGAAACCUACUAAGCCGAGGACAAUUGCUUCAAAAGAAGAACCAAAAAGGUGCUGAAAGACAGAAGGCAAACGAACCUCAGAGGCAUCUUUAGAAAUGGACAAUUAUGAUCCAUUAAGCCUAGUUAAGGGACUGAAAUUUAUGAGGAGGAAACAUCUGGAACUGCCUGGAAUGCAAAGGAACCAGAAGGAACCACUGUUUGGGCUUGUAGAGAGCAGCCCAGACAAAUGGGAUUCUGUGUUAGGAGAGAAUUGCAAAAUCAGAACAUGAAAAGGACAGAAUGGAGGCAACGCAUCUGGGGUUAAGUGAAGCAUUUUAAUACAGUGGCUCCUGGAUUUGCUCUUGAAAUAUUAAUUGAAAUUGGGAUGAAUAUGAGGGCUGUCACAUGAAUAGAAAACUGGCAGGAAGAUCAUAAAUACUGGCUAAGCUGAGCCAAGUCAACAGAACACAGCAAUGCAACAGAAAGUAAUGAAGACACUGCUGAAUUCAUAGCCAUGAACCCUGCAGAUGCUUAAUAAAUAUUAAUUGAUAAUAAUGAACUAUAGUACAGGGUGGUAAAUUAGUGCGAGACAGUUAAGCUGCUGAAAAACAGCUAAUAUAUAUAUGGUUGGUAUAACAUACAAUGAUGAAUGAACAAGGAGAAAGGAAAAUAAAACUGAUUUAUUGGUGAGGUGCAUUUUGCCUGGCAACAGGACAUAUGGGAAAGAGAAUAUUAAUAGAAGGGUGGGGAGGGGUGGCUUGAGGGGAUGAGAGGAAAGUUGAGACAAUAAUUCAGGAUCACAAUAGAGCUUUCCUAGCGUCUCGGCAAUUCCUUAAGUAUAAGCCAGGCACCUUGGAGUCAUAUCCUGUUCCUUUAAAACACUGUGGCAUUCUCAAUAAAUUUUUGCUCCCAGGAACCCAGAGACACCAUAGAUUAAUCUGGACCAAUUUCCCAGAAGGGGAUAUGAAAGCUCUCCUCCUAGGGAAGCCAGCUCUGAUCCACACAGCCAGAGUACAACCUUUUCUUUUUAAAUCUCAUCACUCUUGUUGCUUGUGUCACUGCUUAUCUCCUAGAAUUACUAUGAUUUUUGUAUAUGUGAUUAUAUUUUUUAAGCUUUGUAAAGUAGAAAUAACGCCUUGCAUUUUC
ensembl:lncRNA